AAUUACCAAAUUCUAAAGUUAAUGUGCUGAUAAUCAUAGUAAUCUGCUUUGCAAUUUCCAUGAUUGUAAACAUUGCUUUUAUCUGUCACCAAGCUCAAAGAUCACUGCGUAGAAACCUUAAAGCACAACACAAUGUGAGUCAACCAGAUAAUACUCCUGAAGAUGGACAGGAUCUGAACUAUGCUGCCUUACAUAUCUCAGAACGAAAACCUUCAAGAGGAAAGAUGAAAAAUCAUCUGAAAACUGAAGACAGUGUGUAUUCACAAAUUAUGUACACAACUUAAUUUUGUAAAUCCAAAUAUAACCGCAAU